AUUAGUUGCUACAUUCAGUUGGGCACUCUAAUGAGACUGCCGGUGACAAGCCGGAGGAAGGUGGGGAUGACGUCAAGUCCUCAUGGCCCUUAUAGGUGGGCUACACACGUCAUACAAUGGCUGGUACAAAGGGUUGCCAACCCGCGAGGGGAGCCAAUCCCAUAAAGCCAGUCGUAGUCCGGAUCGUAGUCUGCAACUCGACUACGUGAAGUCGGAAUCGCUAGUAAUCGUGGAUCAGAAUGUCACGGUGAAUACGUUCCCGGGUCUU
rnacentral:rRNA from 1 species